AGGGUUUGAUCAUGGCUCAGGAUGAACGCUGGCGGCGUGCUUAACACAUGCAAGUCGAACGAACCUUCGGGUUAGUGGCGGACGGGUGAGUAACGCGUGAGAAUCUGCCCUCAGGAGGGGGAUAACGGUUGGAAACGACCGCUAAUACCCCAUAUGCCUACUGGUGAAACGAAUUUCGCCUGAGGAUGAGCUCGCGUCUGAUUAGCUAGUUGGUGAGGUAAUGGCUCACCAAGGCUUCGAUCAGUAGCUGGUCUGAGAGGAUGAUCAGCCACACUGGGACUGAGACACGGCCCAGACUCCUACGGGAGGCAGCAGUGGGGAAUUUUCCGCAAUGGGCGAAAGCCUGACGGAGCAACGCCGCGUGAGGGACGAAGGCCUCUGGGCUGUAAACCUCUUUUCUCAAGGAAGAAGAUAUGACGGUACUUGAGGAAUAAGCCACGGCUAAUUCCGUGCCAGCAGCCGCGGUAAUACGGGAGUGGCAAGCGUUAUCCGGAAUUAUUGGGCGUAAAGCGUCCGCAGGCGGCUUUUCAAGUCUGCUGUUAAAACGUGGAGCUUAACUCCAUCAUGGCAGUGGAAACUGAAAGGCUUGAGUAUGGUAGGGGCAGAGGGAAUUCCCGGUGUAGCGGUGAAAUGCGUAGAUAUCGGGAAGAACACCAGUGGCGAAGGCGCUCUGCUGGGCCAUUACUGACGCUCAUGGACGAAAGCCAGGGGAGCGAAAGGGAUUAGAUACCCCUGUAGUCCUGGCCGUAAACGAUGAACACUAGGUGUCGGGGGAAUCGACCCCUUCGGUGUCGUAGCUAACGCGUUAAGUGUUCCGCCUGGGGAGUACGCACGCAAGUGUGAAACUCAAAGGAAUUGACGGGGGCCCGCACAAGCGGUGGAGUAUGUGGUUUAAUUCGAUGCAACGCGAAGAACCUUACCAGGGUUUGACAUCCUGCGAACCUCUUAGAAAUUUGAGGGUGCCUUCGGGAAUGCAGUGACAGGUGGUGCAUGGCUGUCGUCAGCUCGUGUCGUGAGAUGUUGGGUUAAGUCCCGCAACGAGCGCAACCCACGUUUUUAGUUGCCAGCAUUUAGUUGGGCACUCUAGAAAGACCGCCGGUGAUAAACCGGAGGAAGGUGUGGAUGACGUCAAGUCAUCAUGCCCCUUACACCCUGGGCUACACACGUACUACAAUGCUACGGACAAAGGGCAGCAAACUCGCGAGAGCUAGCAAAUCCCAUAAACCGUGGCUCAGUUCAGAUCGUAGGCUGCAACUCGCCUACGUGAAGUAGGAAUCGCUAGUAAUCGCAGGUCAGCAUACUGCGGUGAAUACGUUCCCGGGCCUUGUACACACCGCCCGUCACACCAUGGAAGUUGGCCAUGCCCGAAGUCGUUACUCCAACCCUUGUGGAGGAGGACGCCGAAGGUGGGGCUAAUGACUGGGGUGAAGUCAUAACAAGGUAACCGUA
rnacentral:rRNA from 1 species